AUGCCGUGUCCGGGCUGCAGAGGGUGCUGCUGGAGCCACAAGACAAAGAUUCCUAGAGAGGCGAGGACUUUAAAAGGCGGUGUCCUGCCCAAGGGCACCUCUACGCUUUUCGUACCUCUGGAGAGCCUGCCUGCCUGCCUGCUGCAAUGCUGCAAGAGGACACCCAGGCAUUGGUGUGCCGGUUUUACGCCCUGCAGAGCGAGCGGGUGGAGGCGUAUCACCUCUUCGAGGAGUGAGUACCCAUUCCCUGCUCUGCUCCCCGUGCCGGAAGCCCCGGGUUCGAAAUCCAUCGCGUCACCCGGGGCUCUGCCGCGGUUUGGAAAGGGAAACCGUUGUCCAAAGGUGGGAAGCCGGUGGGGUUCUCUAUGGCCCAGGGGCUUCCCAGUGGGUGCUCCCUCGGCCCUAAGCCCCGGUCUUCGUCGGAUGGGGAAAGAAGCCCUGCUGGAGGCCAUCAAGGCCCCCCCCCCCNGCUUUCUCCCCACCACUCUGGGCUGCUUUUCUGGGUCCUUGAUGAAGUCCAGAUGAGCGAAAAGCCGUCCCAGCGCCCGGCCCACCUGUCUUCCAUUUGCGAACCAAGCCUGGGGUGGGGAGGGGAGGGGAGGGCGGCGUUGGCUUCUGGGAAUCGAGAACCAAAUGCGUGACCCUAGCCCCUGACCCCCCNCCCCACCCCCGGCGGCCCCCACCGCUUUGGUGGUGCAGGGCGAUGUCGGGGGCACCUCCCUGCCCGAAAGCACCUCCGGGAGGGGAGAAGGACGGCUAAUUCAAUAAUGCGUUUUGGAAACCCCGCUCGGGANGAGCACGUCCGGCUGUUUGCCGCUCCGGACGGAAGGUCCGAGACCAGGCCGGUGGCCGGAAUAGCCAAAAGAAACACCCGCGAGGCAGCGUGGCCACGGCAAGCCCUCCGUGUUGUGAUCGAAUUGCUGCGCUGCGGGCUGAGGGGAGCCUGGCGGAUUGCUACGGGGAGAUAUUCCUGCGGUUCCGGAGCCACCAGCAACAAGGCCCGGUUUCCCACCUUGCCUUUGGGCGGUCCUACAGAUGGGAAAUCUGCCUUAUGACUGAGGGGAAGAGACGGUUCUUCACACCAAGGAUGGGUUUCAGCAUGUUUAUCCUUUAGUGGGGCUUUCCUUUGGCCAGGCUCAGGAUUACUGCGCAGAGCAGGUGUUUGGUCCCCCGUGGUCUCUCCCUGCGGGCAGAACGGCAAGGGGGCCAUCCUGGCAAAGCACCUGCCCCCUCACGCCCCUUUCUUGCCUCCCAGGGGCCACCGGGCGUACCUGCGAAGCGCCCCGGCCUACGACUUCCUCCGCUACCGCCAGCUGGUGCACGAGAUCACCCAGGCCUUCAGUGGCAUCUCCCGGGAGAUCCUGCAGAUCCGAGAGCAGCUAGCGGGUGCCCACGGGCGCGCAGACCUGGCCGAGCACCUGGGGCGCCUGCAGGCGAAGGAGAAGGAGAAACUGGAGCUGGUGAGAGGAGGGAAAGACGGCGGGGGGGGGGGCGGUGCGUGUCCCUGG
rnacentral:lncRNA from 1 species